GGACUACUGGGGUAUCUAAUCCUGUUUGAUCCCCGCACUUUCGAGCCUCAGCGUCAGUUACAGCUUCGUUAGCUGCCUUCGCAAUCGGUGUUCUAUGACAUAUCUAAGUAUUUCACCACUACAUGUCAUAUUCCGCCAACGGCAACUGUACUCUAGAUCAGCAGUAUCAAUGGCAGUUUGUGGGUUAAGCCCACAGAUUUCACCACUGACUUACCAAUCCGCCUACGCUCCCUUUAAACCCAAUGAAUCCGGAUAACGCUUGCAUCCUUCGUCUUACCGCGGCGGCUGGCAC
rnacentral:rRNA from 2 species